GACGAACGCUGGCGGCGUGCCUAAUACAUGCAAGUAGAACGCUGAAGAGAGGAGCUUGCUCUUCUUGGAUGAGUUGCGAACGGGUGAGUAACGCGUAGGUAACCUGCCUGGUAGCGGGGGAUAACUAUUGGAAACGAUAGCUAAUACCGCAUAAAAUUGAUUAUUGCAUGAUAAUUAAUUGAAAGAUGCAAUUGCAUCACUACCAGAUGGACCUGCGUUGUAUUAGCUAGUUGGUGAGGUAACGGCUCACCAAGGCGACGGUACAUAGCCGACCUGAGAGGGUGAUCGGCCACACUGGGACUGAGACACGGCCCAGACUCCUACGGGAGGCAGCAGUAGGGAAUCUUCGGCAAUGGGGGGAACCCUGACCGAGCAACGCCGCGUGAGUGAAGAAGAUUUUCGGAUCGUAAAGCUCUGUUGUAAGAGAAGAACGGGUGUGAGAGUGGAAAGUUCACACUGUGACGGUAUCUUACCAGAAAGGGACGGCUAACUACGUGCCAGCAGCCGCGGUAAUACGUAGGUCCCGAGCGUUGUCCGGAUUUAUUGGGCGUAAAGCGAGCGCAGGCGGUUAGAUAAGUCUGAAGUUAAAGGCUGUGGCUUAACCAUAGUAUGCUUUGGAAACUGUUUAACUUGAGUGCAGAAGGGGAGAGUGGAAUUCCAUGUGUAGCGGUGAAAUGCGUAGAUAUAUGGAGGAACACCGGUGGCGAAAGCGGCUCUCUGGUCUGUAACUGACGCUGAGGCUCGAAAGCGUGGGGAGCAAACAGGAUUAGAUACCCUGGUAGUCCACGCCGUAAACGAUGAGUGCUAGGUGUUAGGCCCUUUCCGGGGCUUAGUGCCGCAGCUAACGCAUUAAGCACUCCGCCUGGGGAGUACGACCGCAAGGUUGAAACUCAAAGGAAUUGACGGGGGCCCGCACAAGCGGUGGAGCAUGUGGUUUAAUUCGAAGCAACGCGAAGAACCUUACCAGGUCUUGACAUCCCUCUGACCGCUCUAGAGAUAGAGUUUUCCUUCGGGACAGAGGUGACAGGUGGUGCAUGGUUGUCGUCAGCUCGUGUCGUGAGAUGUUGGGUCAAGUCCCGCAACGAGCGCAACCCCUAUUGUUAGUUGCCAUCAUUCAGUUGGGCACUCUAGCGAGACUGCCGGUAAUAAACCGGAGGAAGGUGGGGAUGACGUCAAAUCAUCAUGCCCCUUAUGACCUGGGCUACACACGUGCUACAAUGGCUGGUACAACGAGUCGCAAGCCGGUGACGGCAAGCUAAUCUCUGAAAGCCAGUCUCAGUUCGGAUUGUAGGCUGCAACUCGCCUACAUGAAGUCGGAAUCGCUAGUAAUCGCGGAUCAGCACGCCGCGGUGAAUACGUUCCCGGGCCU
rnacentral:rRNA from 1 species